ACUGUUCCUUCACGUUUAAUCCUGAAUAGCAACUCGGGGCAUGUUUUGAAGCAUCACAGUAGCUUCUUGAUCGAUCUUCGUCAAUAUUGAACAAACUUGACAUAUGUAGUAGAUACGGCCCUCAUUGGCACCAGAUUUGAAAUCGGGAUCCAAUUUUUGAACUGUUCAAAAAUAUAAUCCCGAUUCUCGAAAUCAUUGAUAGUACGUGGUAACCUCCAGGUAGUUGUAA